rnacentral:rRNA from 1 species
UACGUAGGGUGCAAGCGUUUAAUCGGAAUUACUGGGCGUAAAGCGUGCGCAGGCGGUUGUGCAAGACAAGAUGUGAAAUCCCCGGGCUCAACCUGGGAACUGCAUUUGUGACUGCACGGCUGGAGUGCGGCAGAGGGGGGGUGGAAUUGCUGGUGUAGCGGUGAAAUGCGUAGAGAUCAGCAGGAACACCCGUGGCGAAGGCGGCCCCUGGGCCGCA